CUGGCAGUUUUCUCACUCAGUUUCCCAAUCUUGCCAGCCUUAUUAUCUCCCGGAACACCCACCACCAAAACAAAAACAAAAACAAAAACAAAAACACCAAAAUUAUAUAGAGAAUUAUGUGGGAAUGAGAUAGAAUCAUUAGUUGGGAAGUCAAGAAAUCUGAAAUCUGAGUCUCAGGCCUAUCCUUUUGAUUCUUUUACAAGGCCAGGCCUAGUCUUAGCCAGGUCUCUAGGCCACUAAGCAUAAGCAAGGAGGGUUCACAUUUGACAAGCUCUAUGCUGAUCUGAAGAAAUCUCAGCUUUUCCCCAUAUUUGUACUAUACCUUACUUCAAGAUUUACAAAACUGCUUUAUGAGGUCAUAGGAAGCUGGUUAGUCAAGGCAGUCUUGCUUGUGGACUAUUUCAGCACUGCUUUACUUAAAAAGCUCCCUUCUUUCAUCCCGUCGGCUUCCUCCUCCAUCAUUUAGUGACAUGUAGAAGGACACUGGAGAAUAGACCAGAACUGUAGUCAGAUAAAAGCAGAUGGCCUUACAAUGAUGAAAAAAGGAAGCAUGUCCUGACUCAUGACUAGAAGACCUAGAAAUAAGUGACAAAAUAAGAGGAGAAUGAUCUUCAAAGCUGAAAGGAUAGAACAUACAUCCAAGAUGGGUGAGGAGAUAAGAAGCGAAUCCCUGGCUGCUUCAAAUGAGCUGAAAUGUUCAGGCUAAAGGAGCUUUCAGAUAUCACUUCAGAAACAAAACCUGAAAUCUUGGGACAUCACAGGGAAUGGAAGAGGUGGAAAUGACCAGAAACUGACAAACGUUCUUAUUUUCAAGAAAGGGAAAAGGGUUUGGAGGUUUAGGUAUGUGCCAUAUAAAAUGAUCCGCGACCUCCUUCGGCCGGACGAGGACUGUCAAAUUAAACUACAAGGACUGACCAAACAACUGGUUACCUAGGUUUUGGUACCUAGUUUGCGGAGGUGUUGGCCGCCCAAAGGCGUUUAUUUGGAGAUCUUGGGGCAGAGGCUGUAAUGAUGCUGUUUACGAAGUCUUUCUCUCAGGACGCUGACACCUUGGAGAGUGCCCAGAGGAAGAAGGACAACCGGGAUGACUAGGAUCCUAGAAAACACGACAGUCCAUGAUGAUAACUAGCAUUUACAUAGCAUGUUAAGGUUUUCAAAGUGCUUUGUAACUUAUUUGAAAAACUUUUUAACAAUUGGUGCUGUCCAAAGGUGGAAUGAGUUGCCUGGGGAGGUGGUUUCCUGUGUAGGAGGUGUUCAGGAACACUAGCACCUUUAGUGUGGGGGCUUUCUGGGCCCUUUUCUGGGCUGCUCAUCCACCUGUGGUCUCUACCUUCCUCCAACUCUCUCACCUGUGGCUCCAAGAAGCUGUAGCGUGAGCAGCUGCCUCAUCCCAGUAAACCUCAGCAAUUUGGCUAAACUAGGUUGAAGGUAACCCAACAGGCCUCAAACUCAUUUGAUGAGUUAGGGUGAUAGCUAUCCCAAGCAUGUGAAGACCUCCCCCAGCAGAAUGGGAAGAUGAGAACAAUUUGUUCCAAAGGCCAUGAAGGUGGCUGAGGCAGAUGCUUUAGAGUGCUUGGAGAUUAGUCAGACAUGGAAGAUGCCAAGGUCACCCACUGCACUUCUGGACUUUUGUCCUGCCACUGGACUUCUUAUGCGACAUGACAUCCUCAAAUGAAGGACAAACAACAAGUGUUCAAGUAAAGACAGUAUGGACAUUUACUGGUGAUGUUGUGAAGGGGAUUCAUUCUCAGGGAUGGGUGGACUAGAAGGCCUCUAAGAUUCCAUCCUGCACUGAGAUUCUGCACCUUUCAUGUUAGGCACUGAAGGCCCCUGAUACCACACAAACUUGCAUGCCUUAAGAAACACCUACUCAGCUAUUCAUUCAUGUGUCUUUGGGAAUCCAUUUAUUAAACUGCCACCACUAUGUCUCCAUGACACUCUUGCUCCUUUUCUGUACCUACAGUUUCUUCUCAGGCCAUAUAAGAGUGGGUAGGCCUUUCUUUCUUCCUUUCCCUUCACCUCUCCCUCCACUCUUUCUGUAUCACUUAGACACCAUAUUAUGGUCAAGCAGGACAGAUAAUAGCAAGGGUGUCCUUCCCCCUUAUCUUCUCUUUCCAUCUACCUUGACCUCCCAAGUUUCCCAAUGCUAAUGGGAUGAGUGAUAUGACCGCUUAUACCCCUCAGUGAGCUAGAAUUUACCAAGUAUAAUACCUCCUAUGGGAUGGAGGACCACCAUAUCCUGAAUCCUAAGAUACUCCAGACUUUACCAUCUGCCUUUCUAUUACCCCCUUUCAGACUCCUAAGGGCACUGCCACCUGACCUAUUAAUGUGCUCUAAGGACCUUAGCUUUUCUAGUCUCCUCUAUGGAACCUUAGGAUUUCUGGGAUUCUCUAUCCAGCUGAAUUCUCUUCUCUGCACUAUCUCUUCCAAUUAGAGUGGCAGCUUCUUGAGGAUAGAAACCACCUUGUUUUUCCUAUCUGUAUCUCAGGUGCUGAGAAUAGUUCUUAGCAUAAAAUGAUGCUUUUUCAGUCACUAGCCACCAGCAAUGUCCUUCCUGCCAAACACUAG